GUUGUAUGGUUAAGUGACUAAGCGUACACGGUGGAUGCCUUGGCAGUCAGAGGCGAUGAAAGACGUAGUAACUUGCGAUAAGCCCAGAUUAGGUAGUAACAACCAUUUGAGUCUGGGAUUUCUGAAUGGGGAAACCCACGUGCAUAAGCACGUAUCCUUACCUGAAUACAUAGGGUAAGGAGGCGAACCGGGGGAACUGAAACAUCUAAGUACCCCGAGGAAAAGAAAUCAACCGAGAUUCCGAAAGUAGCGGCGAGCGAAAUUGGACUAGCCCUUAAGCUUUACACGCGUUAGACGAACGGUCUGGAAAGUCCGACGAUACAGGGUGAUAGUCCCGUAGUUGACGACGUGUGUUCAGUGAAAUCGAGUAGGGCGGGACACGUGAUAUCCUGUCUGAAUAUGGGGGGACCAUCCUCCAAGGCUAAAUACUACUGACUGACCGAUAGUGAACCAGUACCGUGAGGGAAAGGCGAAAAGAACCCCUGUGAGGGGAGUGAAAUAGAACCUGAAACCGUGUACGUACAAGCAGUAGGAGCAGGCUUUGUCCUGUGACUGCGUACCUUUUGUAUAAUGGGUCAGCGACUUAUAUUCAGUGGCAAGGUUAACCAUCUAGGGGAGCCGUAGGGAAACCGAGUCUUAACUGGGCGUUCAGUCUCUGGAUAUAGACCCGAAACCAGGUGAUCUAGCCAUGGGCAGGUUGAAGGUUGAGUAACAUCAACUGGAGGACCGAACCGACUAAUGUUGAAAAAUUAGCGGAUGACUUGUGGCUAGGGGUGAAAGGCCAAUCAAACCUGGAGAUAGCUGGUUCUCCCCGAAAGCUAUUUAGGUAGCGCCUCGGACGAAUACUACUGGGGGUAGAGCACUGUUAAGGCUAGGGGGUCAUCCCGACUUACCAACCCUUUGCAAACUCCGAAUACCAGUAAGUACUAUCCGGGAGACACACGGCGGGUGCUAACGUCCGUCGUGGAGAGGGAAACAACCCAGACCGCCAGCUAAGGUCCCAAAUUACUACUAAGUGGGAAACGAUGUGGGAAGGCUCAGACAGCCAGGAUGUUGGCUUAGAAGCAGCCAUCAUUUAAAGAAAGCGUAAUAGCUCACUGGUCGAGUCGGCCUGCGCGGAAGAUGUAACGGGGCUAAGUAGUAAACCGAAGCUGCGGCAAUAUACUUUUGUAUAUUGGGUAGGGGAGCGUUCUGUAAGCGGUUGAAGGUGUGUGGUAACGCAUGCUGGACGUAUCAGAAGUGCGAAUGCUGACAUGAGUAACGAUAAAGGGGGUGAAAAACCUCCUCGCCGGAAGACCAAGGGUUCCUGUCCAACGUUAAUCGGGGCAGGGUAAGUCGACCCCUAAGGCGAGGCCGAAAGGCGUAGUCGAUGGGAAACGGGUUAAUAUUCCCGUACUUCUUACAAUUGCGAUGGGGGGACGGAGAAGGCUAGGUGGGCCUGGCGACGGUUGUCCAGGUUCAAGUGCGUAGGCUGAGAGAUUAGGUAAAUCCGGUUUCUCUUAAGGCUGAGACACGACGUCGAGCACCUACGGGUGUGAAGUCAUUGAUGCCAUGCUUCCAGGAAAAGCCUCUAAGCUUCAGAUUGUAAGGAAUCGUACCCCAAACCGACACAGGUGGUCGGGUAGAGAAUACCAAGGCGCUUGAGAGAACUCGGGUGAAGGAACUAGGCAAAAUGGUACCGUAACUUCGGGAGAAGGUACGCUCUCGACGGUGAAGUCCCUUGCGGAUGGAGCUAUUGAGAGUCGCAGAUACCAGGUGGCUGCAACUGUUUAUUAAAAACACAGCACUGUGCAAAAUCGUAAGAUGACGUAUACGGUGUGACGCCUGCCCGGUGCCGGAAGGUUAAUUGAUGGGGUUAGACUUCGGUCGAAGCUCUUGAUCGAAGCCCCGGUAAACGGCGGCCGUAACUAUAACGGUCCUAAGGUAGCGAAAUUCCUUGUCGGGUAAGUUCCGACCUGCACGAAUGGCGUAAUGAUGGCCACGCUGUCUCCACCCGAGACUCAGUGAAAUUGAAAUCGCUGUGAAGAUGCAGUGUACCCGCGGCUAGACGGAAAGACCCCGUGAACCUUUACUACAGCUUGGCACUGAACAUUGACCCUACAUGUGUAGGAUAGGUGGGAGGCUUUGAAGCACGUACGCCAGUAUGUGUGGAGCCGUCCUUGAAAUACCACCCUUGUAGUGUUGAUGUUCUAACGUCGACCCCUUAUCGGGGUUGCGGACAGUGCCUGGUGGGUAGUUUGACUGGGGCGGUCUCCUCCCAAAGAGUAACGGAGGAGCACGAAGGUGGGCUAAUCACGGUUGGACAUCGUGAGGUUAGUGCAAUGGCAUAAGCCCGCUUGACUGCGAGAAUGACAAUUCGAGCAGGUGCGAAAGCAGGUCAUAGUGAUCCGGUGGUUCUGAAUGGAAGGGCCAUCGCUCAACGGAUAAAAGGUACUCCGGGGAUAACAGGCUGAUACCGCCCAAGAGUUCAUAUCGACGGCGGUGUUUGGCACCUCGAUGUCGGCUCAUCACAUCCUGGGGCUGAAGUCGGUCCCAAGGGUAUGGCUGUUCGCCAUUUAAAGUGGUACGCGAGCUGGGUUUAGAACGUCGUGAGACAGUUCGGUCCCUAUCUGCCGUGGGCGUUGGAAGAUUGAAGGGGGCUGCUCCUAGUACGAGAGGACCGGAGUGGACGAACCUCUGGUGUUCGGGUUGUGUCGCCAGACGCAUUGCCCGGUAGCUAAGUUCGGAAUCGAUAACCGCUGAAAGCAUCUAAGCGGGAAGCGAGCCCUGAGAUGAGUCUUCCCUGAUACUUUAAGUAUCCUAAAGGGUUGUCGGAGACUACGACGUUGAUAGGUCAGGUGUGUAAGUGCUGUGAGGCAUUGAGCUAACUGAUACUAAUUGCCCGUGAGGCUUAACCAUACAACACCCAAGGGGUUU
rnacentral:rRNA from 1 species